rnacentral:tRNA from 2 species
GCGGACGUGGUGGAACCGGUAGACACAGCAGACUUAAAAUCUGCGUCCCUCGGGAGUGCGGGUUCGAGUCCCGCCGUCCGCACCA